UACGUAGGGGGCAAGCGUUGUCCGGAAUCAUUGGGCGUAAAGCGCGUGUAGGCGGCCCGGUAAGUCCGCUGUGAAAGUCGGGGGCUCAACCCUCGAAUGCCGGUGGAUACUGUCGGGCUCGAGUCCGGAAGAGGAGUGUGGAAUUCCUGGUGUAGCGGUGAAAUGCGCAGAUAUCAGGAGGAACACCAAUGGCGAAGGCAGCACUCUGGGACGUGACUGACGCUGAGACGCGAAAGCGUGGGGAGCAAACAGG
rnacentral:rRNA from 1 species